rnacentral:rRNA from 1 species
UACGUAGGGGGCUAGCGUUGUCCGGAAUCAUUGGGCGUAAAGGGUGCGUAGGUGGCGCUUGUAAGUCGGGUGAUGAAAUCCUGAGGCUUAACCUCGGAACUGCAUUCGAUACUGCGGCGCUUGAGGAACUGGGAGAGGAGACGUGGAAUUCAUGGUGUAGCAGUGAAAAUGCGUAGAGAUCAUGAGGAAGACCAGUGGCGAAGGCGGGUCUCUGGACAGUCCAUGACACUGGAGGCACGAAGGCCAGGGAGCAAACGGG